rnacentral:rRNA from 1 species
UUGGAGGGCAAGUCUGGUGCCAGCAGCCGCGGUAAUUCCAGCUCCAAUAGCGUAUAUUAAAGUUGUUGCAGUUAAAAAGCUCGUAGUUGAAUUUCGGGGUCAGUAGAUUGGUCAUGCCACUGGUAUGUACUGGUCUCACUGAUUCCUCCUUCCUGAUGAGCCGUAAUGCCAUUAAUUUGGUGUUGCGAGGAAUCUGGACUGUUACUUUGAAAGAAUUAGAGUGUUUAAAGCAGGCUAACGCUUGAAUACAUUAGCAUGGAAUAAUGAAAUAGGACGUUUGAUUCUAUUUUGUUGGUUUCUAGGAUCGACGUAAUGAUUAAUAGGGAUAGUUGGGGGCAUUAGUAUUCAAUUGUCAGAGGUGAAAUUCUUGGAUUUAUUGAAGACUAACUACUGCGAAAGCAUUUGCCAAGGAUGUUUUCAUUAAUCAAGAACGAAAGUUAGGGGAUCGAAGACGAUCAGAUACCGUCGUAGUCUUAACCAUAAACUAUGCCGACUAGGGAUCGGAUGAUGUUAAUUUUUUAAUGACUCAUUCGGCACCUUACGGGAAAC